UUGUAAGAAUCUUGUGUGUCUUCCUAGCACUAUUUGUAAUUUGAAUUCACUUGAAGUGCUCGAUCUUUGUGGGUGCUCAAAUUUUGAUAACUUGCCGGAGAACCUUGGGAAUCUCAAAGGUCUUAAUCGUCUUGAUUUGAGGGGAACAUCUAUAAAAGAGCUGCCUUCAUCGAUUGAUGGUUUGACAACCCUUACUUCAUUGACUCUUAGUGAUUGUAAGAAUCUUGUGUGUCUUCCUAGCACCAUUUGUAGUUUGAAUUCACUUGAAGUGCUCGCUCUUCGUGGGUGCUCAAAUUUUGACAACUUGCCGGAGAACCUAGGGAAUCUCAAAGGUCUCAAGGUGCUUGAUUUGAGUGGAACAGCUAUAAAUGAGCUGCCUUCAUCAAUUGAUGGUUUGACAACCCUUACUUCAUUGAUUCUUAGCGAUUGUAAGAAUCUUGUGUGUCUUCCUAGCACCAUUUGUAAUUUGAAUUCACUUGAAGUGCUCGAUCUUUGUGGGUGCUCAAAUUUUGAUAACUUGCCGGAGAACCUAAGGAAUCUCAAAGGUCUCAAGAACCUUCGCUUGAGUGGAACAACUAUAAAUGAGCUGCCUUCAUCAAUUGAUGGUUUGACAACCCUUACUUCAUUGACUCUUAACGAUUGUAAGAAUCUUGUGUCUUCCUAGCACCAUUUGUAGUUUGAAUUCACUUGUAUGGCUUGUUCUUCGUGGGUGCUCAAAUUUUGACAACUUGCCAGAGAACUUGGGGAAUCUCAAAGGUCUCAAGGAGCUUUAUUUGAGUGGAACAGCUAUAUAGGAGUUGCCUUCAUCAAUUGAUGGUUUGACAACUCUAAGAUGUUGCAGAAAUCUUGUGUGCCUACCUAGCACCAUUUGUAAUUUGAAGUUGCUUAAUUCUCUUGAUCUUUUUGGAUGCUUAAAAUUUGACAACUUGCCAGAGAACAUUGGAAAUAUGGAAGGUUAGGAGCUACUUAAUUUGUGUUGGACAGCCAUAUAAGAGGUUCCUUCUUCCAUUGUUUUCCUUAAAAAUCUCAAACAGCUUCAUAUCUGUGGAUGGAAGUUAUCUGAAUUUUAUUCCCAGCCAGCAAGUCCUAUGUCGAUAGAACCUUUAUGGAUUUCAUUAUCUUACUUGCCAACAAGUCCUACCACGGAAAGAAUAUUUUUGCCUUCAUUUAUAUAUUAUUCCCUGCAAACAAGUCCGGUUCUGGUGGGCUUAUCAUUGCCUUCCUUGUCAGGUCUACAAUCUUUUACAGAUUUGAAUCUUAGUCACCGCGAUCUUUGGUCAAUCCCCAAUGACAUUGGCUGCUUGUCCUCUUUAGAAUACUUAGAUCUAAGUGGAAAUAAUUUUGUUUCCCUUCCUGAAAGCAUGUCUCAACUCUCUAAAUCUUGGAAGACUCUGUUUGGAGGGUUGCGAAAGUCUUCAAUCAUUGGAAAAUGUUCCGCCAACUAUUGAUUCUAUAAUUGCAGACGAUUGUACCUCACUGGAGAGAUUGCCAGAACUGCAGUUUUAUCUUUCUAGGUCAGAUCGCACCUACUUGCAAUUCCUGUUUUUCAACUGCUUCAAAUUGGUUGACAAUAGCAUGCUUCAGGGCAUUAAUUACAUGCUUCAGGUCAUGAAUUGAAAGUACAAGUGCCUUCUAAUUUGUCUAAUGCAUCAAUUGGAAUUGCAUUUUGUGUUGUUUUUGUUCCCAACAAGUGGCGUGAAUGCCCUUGUGAUUGGGAGCUUUCAUUUAGAAUCGAUGGAUUUCCAUUGAAUGAGGGAGAAAUUUCUGGUUCUAGGAAAGAAUAUGGUACAAUUGAAUCACAUCACCUUUGGCUGACCUAUUAUUCCUAUUGGAAUGGAUUUCAUCCUCUUAAGAUUAGAGCAUCUUCUCGGAACUUGGAGGUGGAGAAAAUUGGGGUCCGAUUCAUAUACCGGCAAGACAUCAAAAAUCCCAGUAAAACUAUGGCACAGUGCAUCAACAACAGCAGCAUCAUAAUCCAUCAUGAUAUUGCUGAUUCAAUUGCAGAUGGUAGCGGAAAUAAGCGAAGCCAUGAUGAGGAUGAUGGGGCAGGAUCUAGUGGAGAAUGCUACCCUAUUGUGGAACCACCGCCAAAGAGGAUUCAACGGCUUGGAGGAUUUAUGGAGGAUUCUGAGGAUCCUAGUCAAAGGGAAUUUUCCAAUUUCUUUGCGAUGGAUGCAGAGGAUCAAAUGUCCAUGAAGCUUGAAGCCAUUCACGAAUGUAGUAGUUACCAAGACAUCGAAGAUAUCAAUCAAACCCUGGCACAGAACAGCAACAACAGCAGCACGCUUUAUGAGGGUCUGGGUGAAUCUAUUGUGAUAUUGAACGAUUCAGCCGCCGAAGGUAGAAUGUCUGAUUUGGAAGAAUCUAGUGGAAAAGGCCACUUUAAUGAAGGACCAGAUCCAAAGACUUGGAGUAUUUAUGUCUGAUUCGGAAGAAUCUAGUAAAAGGGAAUUCUUCGCCUGUUGAAUAAUACAAAUUUUUCUUGUUGUCUUGUUGGGGCACUUUUAUAUAAUGGAAGGAAGGGAUCAAACGUCCAAGAAGCUUGAAGCCUAUUGCGGCGGUAAGAGGGAUAGUUAGCAGAGCCACGUUGAAGAAUUAGCCAAGUAGGAUCUCUCCUUUCACUCAAAAUGAUUCCUAGUGAAAAAGCGCUCAAGGAACAAGUGUGCUCUACAUUCCAAGAUCUUCCUGCACAGUACACAUUUUAGAUCACUGGUUGGUGGAAUCUUCUGGUGGUGGAGGGAAAUGUCUCUCUAGGUCUUCUCUUCUAGAAACAUCCAAGAACAGCAAAUUCUUUACAUAAGAAAUAUCACGGCCUGGAAGUAACUCGUUGAAUGUCAAUGGGCACACACUCAUCCCAAUUCUAAGGAUCAAAAGUGGCAUUUCAAUAAGAACAACCUUGUUUGUAAAUGUAGAAAUACCUGCAAGUUUAAAUUACAACAAUAACAACCAGAAGAACACAAAGUUGCAGAGCUCAGAAAUAUACCAAGGCAUCUACUGCAGCAUGCUCUCUAAGGAUCAUGAUCCUGACGAUUCAGCCUCAGAAGGUAGCAGAACUAAGCGAAGGCAUGAUGAGGAUGAUGGGGCUGGACACCUAGUGGAGAAGGCUACUCUAAUGAGGAACCACAGCCAAAAUGAAUUUAUAAAGUCGGAGAAUUUAUUGCUGAUUCUGAGGAUUCUAGUCAAAGGGAAAUUUUCGACUUCGUUGCCAUACGAGGAUAGUAUGAAAUGUCCUAGACGCUUGAAUCCAUUCACGGAGGGAAGAGGGAUAGUUACCAAGACAUUGAAGAUCUCAAUUAAACUAUGGCACAGUUAAGCAUCAACAACAGAACACUCUGAGGAUCUGGGUGAUCUCCGCCAUGAUCUUUGUGAUUCAACCGUAGAAGGUAGCAGAAAUAAGUGAAGCCGUGAUGAGGAUGGCGGGACUGGACCAAGUGGAGAAGGCUACUCUAGAGACGAACCCCAUCCAAAGACUUGGAGGAUGUAUGGCUGAUUCUAAAGAAUUUAGUACAAGGAAUGUUUCGACUUCUUUUCCUGAGAGGAUCCAAGAAACUUGAAGCCUAUCGCAGUGGUAAGAGGGAAAGUCACAAGAGGGACGUUGAAAAAUUAGCUCAAACCCACCUUGGCACUCACUAGACCGGUCAAGAGUUAACUGAGGGUUCCUUUUUAAUGUGAUACAAUGAAGAUUGAGGAAGCAAAGAGCACAUUCUCCUAAGGAAAUUGAUCUCCUCCGCUAUUAUUGACCCGUUGCAAGUUGAGAGCACAAUUCAACUCUCCAUCAACAAUGAAGCAAAAGUAGUGUAUUCCUAAUGGAAGCAUCAUAGUAACAGAAGCAAUU